UGCCCGAUUAGGAUAAUGGUUAGUCUGCCAGUUUUGUACUCUGGAGGUAUCUGUUCGAUUCAGAUAUUGGGCAA
rnacentral:tRNA from 1 species